rnacentral:lncRNA from 1 species
AAAUAUCAAAAUUAAUCCAAAAAGUUAUUUUAAUUCAGAAUAUGGAAAAGAAAAGUAUUUAAAGAUUCUUGGUGAAAGUCCCAUAUUUUUUGGAAAAAAAAAUCAAUUUCUAUGAAUAAAAUAAAAUAAGUGGAUUAAAUGGAAAUUCAUAAAAUACAAAAAAGGGAGGGCCAUCAGAUCUCCCUCAUUAAUUGAGGUGGUAGAUCUGACGGAUGAGCGCGCAUGUU